rnacentral:lncRNA from 1 species
GCCCCGAACUCUAAUCAAUUUUAUGUUUUUAGGAUUAACAAUAGCAAUCAAUAUACUGGACAAUUGAUCUGUCCAAUGAAUUAUCACGACGACAUUUUUAUGAUUUCAAUAGAGAUUUAUAUCAAACUAUCAAAAUUGAAAAAAGUCCGGUUAACCGGUUAGCGUUUUUGGUAUUCGGUAUUCGGUCGUUCGACCGAUUAACCGGUUAACCGGUUAACCGUUGACAACACUAGAAAAAAUACA